rnacentral:rRNA from 1 species
GAUGAACGCUGGCGGCGUGCCUAAUACAUGCAAGUCGAGCGAACAGACUAGGAGCUUGCUCCUCUGACGUUAGCGGCGGCCGGGUUAGUAACACGUUGAUAACUUACCUUUACGACUGGGAUAACUUCGUGAAACCGGAGCUAAUAUCAGAUAAUAUAUUUAACCGUAUGAUUCAAUAGUUAAAGACGGUUUUGCUUGCACUUAUUUAUGGAUCCGCGCCGGAUUAGAUAGUUCGUAAGGUCACGGCUUACCAAGGCAACGAUGCGUAUCCGACCUGAGAGGGUGAUCGGCCACACUGGAACUGAGACAAGGUCCAGACUCCUACGGGAGGCAGCAGUAGGGAAACGUACGCAAGGGGCGAAAGCCUGACGGAGCAAAGCCGCGUGAGGGAUGAAGGGAUUGGGAUAGGAAAACUCUGUUAUUAGGGAAGAACAAAUGUGUAAGUAACUAGGCACGUGUUGACGGUACCUUAUCAGAAAGCAACGGCUAACUACGUG